rnacentral:misc_RNA from 1 species
AUCUUUUUUUUAUCAAAAAUACAAAAAUAUACAUAUAAUUCAAAAGUGUGGGUUUUAAAAUACAGGUGAUCGCGGAACCUCGCUGACGCUCGGUCCGCCAAAUCAGUAAUGAUCCUUCCGCAGGUUCACCUACGGAAA